CCUACGGGAGUCAGCAGUGGGGAAUAUUGCACAAUGGGGGAAACCCUGAUGCAGCGACGCCGCGUGAGUGAAGAAGUAUCUCGGUACGUAAAGCUCUAUCAGCAGGGAAGAAAAUGACGGUACCUGACUAAGAAGCCCCGGCUAACUACGUGCCAGCAGCCGCGGUAAUACGUAGGGGGCAAGCGUUAUCCGGAUUUACUGGGUGUAAAGGGAGCGUAGACGGCAGCACAAGUCUGGAGUGAAAUCCCGGGGCUUAACCCCGGAACUGCUUUUGAAACUGUGCGGCUGGAGUGCAGGAGGGGUAAGCGGAAUUCCGAGGGGAGCGGGGAAAUGCGUAGAUAUUAGGAGGAACACCGGUGGGGAAGGCGGCUUACUGGACUGUAACUGACGUUGAGGCUCGAAAGCGUGGGGAGCAAACAGGAUUAGAUACCCCUGUAGUC
rnacentral:rRNA from 1 species